AGAGUUUGAUCCUGGCUCAGGAUGAACGCUAGCGACAGGCUUAACACAUGCAAGUCGAGGGGCAGCGGGGGAGCGGCAACGCUCCCGCCGGCGACCGGCGCACGGGUGAGUAACACGUAUGCAACCUGCCCCGGGCCGGGGCAUAAGCGGUAGAAAUGCCGUCUAAUUCCCCAUGACGCACAGGGGGGACAUCCCCCUUGUGCCAAAGGAGUCAAAUCCGGCCCGGGAUGGGCAUGCGGCGCAUUAGGCAGUUGGCGGUGCAACGGACCACCAAACCUACGAUGCGUAGGGGUUCUGAGAGGAAGGCCCCCCACACUGGUACUGAGACACGGACCAGACUCCUACGGGAGGCAGCAGUGAGGAAUAUUGGUCAAUGGGCGAGAGCCUGAACCAGCCAAGUCGCGUGAGGGAGGAAGGCCCUACGGGUUGUAAACCUCUUUUGCCGGGGAGCAAAGGCCGGGACGUGUCCCGGUUCGAGAGUACCCGGAGAAUAAGCAUCGGCUAACUCCGUGCCAGCAGCCGCGGUAAUACGGAGGAUGCGAGCGUUAUCCGGAUUUAUUGGGUUUAAAGGGUGCGUAGGCGGGCCGGCAAGCCGGCGGUGAAAGCCCGGGGCUCAACCCCGGCGAGCCGUCGGAACUGCCGGCCUUGAGUGGGCGAGAAGCGCGCGGAAUGCGUGGUGUAGCGGUGAAAUGCAUAGAUAUCACGCAGAACUCCGAUUGCGAAGGCAGCGCGCCGGCGCCCGACUGACGCUGAGGCACGAAAGCGUGGGGAUCGAACAGGAUUAGAUACCCUGGUAGUCCACGCAGUAAACGAUGAGCAUUAUCUGGUCCGGGGCGAAUUGGGGUCCUGGGCGGCCCAGCGAAAGCGUUAA
rnacentral:rRNA from 1 species